rnacentral:rRNA from 1 species
CGGGUGAGUAACACGUGGAUAACCUACCUAUAAGACUGGGAUAACUUCGGGAAACCGGAGCUAAUACCGGAUAAUAUAUUGAACCGCAUGGUUCAAUGGUGAAAGACGGUUUUGCUGUCACUUAUAGAUGGAUCCGCGCCGCAUUAGCUAGUUGGUAAGGUAACGGCAUUUACCAAGGCAACGAUGCGUAGCCGACCUGAGAGGGUGAUCGGCCACGCUGGAACUGAGACACGGUCCAGACUCCUACGGGAGGCAGCAGUG